UAACAGAUUGCUUAAGUCUUGGUAUCGACACCACCAAGAACUUUCUCUCAAACCUUCAGUAUACUUUUGCUUACCACACUACUAUGAAAAUACAGAAAAAACUUUUCCACUAAUUUUCAAAGAAUACUCAUGGUAGGGAAUUGUUUUCUCUUUUUUCCUUUCAAAAACCCUUUUUUUUUCCCCUAAAAACAAAAGGUAAGGAACGAAAACCCACAAAAGAAGCCCUAACAUUUUAAGAUCCAUUAAUGCCAUAAAGGCCCAAUUACUCAAUCAUUCAAAGGGGAAUUUGGGUGAAUGCCCCUAUCGGAAGGCCAUUGAGGAUACAUACCCACCCAUUUCUGAAACUUUUUUAUUUUACCCUCUCAUUUUUUGAUAAUCCUAAAAUACCCUUCGAAAUAUCAAAAACAAAAUUUUUUUUUCUUUCUUUCACUUCUCACCAGCUCAUCUCUUCUUCUUCCUCACCUUUUCCCCUAAAAACCCUAGAUUUGAGUUUUCGAGCUUCCCUCUCAUCAGAGCAGAAACUUUGCUUUCUGCUUGUAGUUUCAAAUUUCACAGAUAGACAGAACAAAAAAAAUGGCCAAGUGGUGGUGCUCCGGUGCCCACCGAAUAUAUCUGGAAAGCCCUGGUUUACAGUCAUGGGUUUGGCCACCACGGCUAUUGUCCCCCAGCCGCUUUGUAGCGAAAGAUCCAAGCCAUCUCGAAGCAGAGUAUCGGUAAAAGAUAGGGCCCAGGGGAGAAUCCCUGCCGUAGUGUUCAGCCAAAGCCUCCUGGACAAAAAACCUAGCAACCGAUCAAGGGGUGUGAAAGUGUGAUAAUGGGAAAGGUAUCAAAUCAGUCUCCGUUAUAGUGGAGGUGCCACGUAUGCUUUUAAAGCUUUCACUAAAAUUUGGCAUUAUACCAAUUGUGGUGCCAGUUGGUGUUCGAGAUUUUGACAUUGAUGGGGAAUUUUGGGUCAAAUUGGAAUUGAUACCAACAGAGCCUUUUGUAGAAGCUGUAAUAUUCUCUAGUUUUUAUUCAUAAAACAUUUGUACAUUUUUGUCUUGCUAAUUCAGAUUUAGUUUUUAGUUUUUCUACAUGAUUCUCAUGUCAAGAUGAAAUGUAAGGAUCCGAUUUUAUUAUUAAAUUCUCCAUAUUGUUUGAGAUGUGGAAAAGCAAGAAAUAAGAAGGAUGAGAAUUUAAAUGGA